rnacentral:rRNA from 1 species
GACGAACGCUGGCGGCGUGCCUAAUACAUGCAAGUAGAGCGAACAGAGGAGGGGCUUGCUCCUCUGACGUUAUCGGCGGACGGGUGAGUAACACGUGGAUAACCUACCUAUAAGACUGGGAUAACUUCGGGAAACUGGCGCUAAUACCGGAUAAUAUAUUGAACCAUAUGGUUCAAUAAUGAAAGACGAUUUUGUUAUUACUUAUUGAUGGAUCGUCGGAUCAUUAGCUUGUUGGUAAGGUAACGGCUUACCACGACAAUGAUUAGUCGCCCACCUGAGAGGGUGACCGCCCACACGGGAACUGAGAAACGGUCCAGACCCUUACGGGGGGCAGAAGUAGGGAAUCUUCCGAAAUGGGCGAAAGCUGGACGGAGCAACGCCGCGUAGGUGAUGAAGUUCUUCGGAUCUAAAGACUCUGUGAUUAGGGAGGAACAGAGGUGUAAGUGACUAUGCACGCCGUGACGGUACCUAAUCAGAAAGCCACGGCUAACUACGUG